GAUGAACGCUAGCGGCAGGCCUAACACAUGCAAGUCGAGGGGCAGCAUUUCUAGCUUGCUAGAAGAUGGCGACCGGCGCACGGGUGCGUAACGCGUAUACAAUCUGCCUCAUACUGAGGGAUAGCCCGAAGAAAUUUGGAUUAACACCUCAUGGUAUCAAGAAGCGGCAUCGCUACUUGAUUAAAGGUUACGGUAUGAGAUGAGUAUGCGUCCCAUUAGCUAGUUGGUGAGGUAACGGCUCACCAAGGCUACGAUGGGUAGGGGUCCUGAGAGGGAGAUCCCCCACACUGGUACUGAGACACGGACCAGACUCCUACGGGAGGCAGCAGUGAGGAAUAUUGGACAAUGGGGGCAACCCUGAUCCAGCCAUGCCGCGUG
rnacentral:rRNA from 1 species